GUCGUGUUCGUCUAGCCGGCUGAGGACACUUGCCUUUCAAGCAGGGAACACGGGUUCGAAUCCCGUACAUGACGCCA
rnacentral:tRNA from 1 species